rnacentral:rRNA from 1 species
UAUUAUUUUACGUGUAAAUAAAUAUCUCAGAGUAGUAAUAGAUGGAGUCUUGAAACUCAUAGAAUUUGGCGGUAUUUUAGCCCAUUCAGAGGAAUCUGUCCUAUAAUUGAUAAUACACGGAUUGUUUUACUUUAUUUGGUAAUCAGCUUGUAUACCGCCGUCAUAAGACUAUCUUAUAGAGAGAUAAAAAUUUCUUUGUUUUUGAUUAAAAAGUAUGUCAGGUCAAGGUGCAGUUUAUGAUAAAGUGGGAGAUGGAUUACAAUAGUUUUAAUUAAAUGGAUAGAAUUUAUAAGUGCUUCUUGAAGGUGGAUUUGAUUGUAAGUUUAUAAGGAUUUUUGAGUUGAUUCUGGCUCUAAAGUGUGCACACAUCGCCCGUCGCUCUCGUCAUAAUAUGAG